rnacentral:lncRNA from 1 species
CUUUACUGUGUGGGGACAGGGUGACGGUGCCAGAGGAAGAUGCCGAAAGGACAAGAAUAAGCGAGGACCGUCCCAGGACUCCCUUGGGCGAUCUCGGGAGAAAACCCCCAGCAGGCCCUUGGUGAUCCUUACUGAGGUUACACCUCUGCCAAUUUGUGGGGCGUAGAGGGAACCAGACCACCGGGCCCUUGUGUGGAAGGGCUGCCACAGAGGCCCCAGGCCAUGUGGUUAGAGAUGGUGGUCAUCCCCGCUGCCCCACAGGGAGGGCCCUAGGGCAGGGUUAGUGCAUCUGCAGUGUCUGAGGACGGGGCAGGUGUGUUCACCCCAUAGUGGCUCCUGGCAUCUGCAGUCCCCAGAAGGAGACCCAAACCGGGCCUGGGGGGAGUGACGUGGUCACGGUCCUCCUCCAGCAGUUGGCAGUGGUGUGCUGUUCUCCCAUUUGGUCCAGUGGGGAAGGGAGGACAUUCCAGGGCCCCAGGGCCGUGAAGAGAGGACGAUCAGCAGGACACAGGAUCUGUCGCAGCCCCGUGGACAUGGCCACCACGUGUCACACUUCAAGACCCAGACCACAUCCCUCAGAACCAUCAGAACCAGUCAUGGGUGCUGCCAGAUCACCCCACAGAGCCUGGAGCCUCAGCAGAGAGGGCUGAGGGUGGGCAAGGGUCUGACGGUCACGUGGAGGCUGGCAUUGGAAAUGCCGUCUUCCAGCCAUCUCCUCGGCAGCCCCAUUCCCAUGGAAGUGACUAUGCCAGAUAAAACCCACCUCUGCCGGUCUGCGGUCCUCCUCAUUGGUACCCUAUGGACAAAAACCCCCAAGGGGACCAAGCCCAAAAUGUCUCAUAUCGUUUCCAAAGAGAUAUGACAAAUUUCAAAACAGCCGUGGCGCAAACAAGACAGAUCUAUUUCUCAUCGGAGGAGGUGGAGCAGGUGGUCCAGGGCUGGUACAUGGCGUGCGCAUGCAGGCUCCUCAGACAUUGUUCCACUGGGUGAGUCUUUCAUUCACAUGACUCAAAAUGGUGGCCAAGAUCCAGCUAUGAAGUCUGCAUUCCAGCCAACAGUAAGGAGGAAGAAAUGAACUAAGGCUUGGGCCCUCUCCCUCCAGAAGCUUCCUAGAAGCUGUGCUUUGGGAGCAGUUCCACGUCUGCUCACAGCCCAUUGGCUAGGACUGAGUCACAUGGCCAGCCACUGCUGGUGCCCGGCUUAAAAUGGAGGAAGAGUGGCUGCAGCCUUUUGGGGCGGCAGUGGUCUGUGCCUGCCCUGGUGGCAUCAGCCUGGGGGCUGUGCUGUCUGUGGUUUGUGCUCCCCUUGCUCUUGCCCGUUGGGAACGCACUCCAUGCUCUGGCUUUGGAGGCCUGUACUUGGAGCUUCCUAAGAAUUGAAACCGUGAGGCCGGCUCCGUGGCCGAGUGGUUAAGUUCGUGCGCUCCGCUGCGGCAGCCCGGGGUUCGGAUUCUGGGCGUGGACAUAGCACCGCUUGUCAGGCCACGUUGAGGCGGCGUCCCACAUCCCACAACUAGAAGGAUGUGCAACUAAGAUAUACAACUGUGUACAGGGAGGGGGUUGGGGAGAUAAAGCAGAAAAAAAAAAAAAAAGAAUUGAAACUGUCCAACAACAAACAGACCAGAGCAAUAAAUCGAAGCACUCCUGAGCGUCAGCGAGGCCAGCCUCCUGCUGUGCUGGGACUUACACCUCCGGGCCUGAGCGAUGGGACCUGCACAGCCCCCUAGAGAAGGAGGAGGGGUAGGCGUCUGGACUCCCGCUCGCGGUGUGUAGUCUGUCCACACGGCUCGCUCUCCCUGAGAGCCCGGGUCCUGUUUUCCACAGUGGACACGAGGCGACAGGUCAGGUGAGCAAGGUGGUUUUGUGCGGCCGUCAGAAAUUAAGCCAGUUUCUGCUUGAAUGGCCUGGGAAGUGCCCCGGAAGCCCCUGCCCCCGAGCCAGGGAGGCAGGAGUGGGUCAGCCCUCUGCUCCCUCGGCUCCUGGCUCCUGGUUCUUCCGCCUGACCCCCCUCCCCCUUAUCUUGGAAGAAAGUAAUGAGUAACCCAGCACUUUGAGUCCUCAAGGUUAUUUUGUCAAUAAAGUCCUUCUCAAGUCUUGCGUGAUGUCUCCGUGUGGGUGACUUCUUUU